UACGUAGGGUGCGAGCGUUGUCCGGAUUUAUUGGGCGUAAAGAGCUCGUAGGCGGUUUGGCAAGUCGGGUGUGAAAACUCCGGGCUCAACUCGGAGACGCCACUCGAUACUGCCAUGACUCUAGUCCGGUAGGGGAGUGCGGAAUUCCUGGUGUAGCGGUGAAAUGCGCAGAUAUCAGGAGGAACACCGGUGGCGAAGGCGGCACUCUGGGCCGGUACUGACGCUGAGGAGCGAAAGCGUGGGGAGCGAACAGG
rnacentral:rRNA from 1 species